CCCUUAGAUGUUCUGGGCCGCACGCGUGCUACACUGAGUGGAUCAGCGGGUCAGGUUGCGCGAAAGCGUUUCCUAAUCUUUAAAUCCGCUCGUGAUGGGGAUUGACGGUUGCAAUUUUCUGUCAUGAACGAGGAAUACCUUGUAAGCGCGGGUCAUCAUCCCGCGCUGAAUACGUCCCUGCCCUUUGCACACACCGCCCGUCGCUCCUACCGAUCGAGUGGUCCGGUGAGGCUUUGGGAUCUGAGCGGAAAGAGCGUUUCGCUGUUUCUGCUCGGAAAACUCAGUCGAACCUUAUCAUUUAGAGGAAGGAGAAGUCGUAACA
rnacentral:rRNA from 1 species